AGAGAGUUUGAUUCUUGCUAAGGAGUUUUGUUUUAUAAUUAUAAUGUAUAUGUAAGUUUUGAUGGAUAUUUAUUGAUAGAGGAAAUUAAAAAUUUUUAAGAAAAUAAAAAAGUGAGAAAAUGAUUUGUAUUUCGCAGUACAAGAUAUUGAUUAUAUGGGAGGAAGCCUGAUUUGGUAAAUUAUAAUAAGCCUAACUAAAUUUUGUGCCAGCAGUUGCGGUUAAACUUGGAGGUUAAGUAAAAAGUUUUAGUCGAAGUUAUUUUGUUUUAUAAAGUGGAUCUUAAUUUGUAGAAAUUGAAGGUGAAAUUAUUAUGUUUUAAAAUAAAUUAAGAAUUAAAGAUUAGAUUUAAGGAAGCUUAAAAGACUGGGGGAUAAACUAGGAUUAGAUACCCUAUUAUACUUAGGGAGAGUAAAUGAAAGAUUUAAUUAUUAGUAGAUGGAUUCUUGAAAUUUAGAGAAUUUGGCGGUAUUUUAGUCUAGUUAGAGGAACCUGUUUCGUAAUCGAUACAACACGUAGUAUUUUACUAAUUUUUGUUAUGUAUUAGUUUGUAUACCGCUAUUAUUAGGUAAUUUUUAUAGAAUGAUAAUUAUCGAAGUUAAAAAGUUUAAAUAUAUUAGGUCAAGGUGCAGCUUAUGAAUUAGUGAGAGUGGGUUACAAUAAGAUAUAUUUAUAACGGAGUUAUACUGGAAGAUAAGAGUGUUAAUGAAGGUGGAUUUAAUUGUAAUAAAAAAAGUUAGUAAGGUUAAAUGAUAUAAGUACUAAAUUAAGUACAUAUUGCCCGUCACUUUCAUUUAAGGUGGAAUAAGUCGUAACAUAGUAAGUAUACUGGAAGGUGUACUUAGAAAUAU
rnacentral:ncRNA from 1 species